UACGAAGGGGGCUAGCGUUGCUCGGAAUCACUGGGCGUAAAGCGCACGUAGGCGGCUUUCUAAGUCAGGGGUGAAAUCCUGGAGCUCAACUCCAGAACUGCCUUUGAUACUGGGAAUCUCGAGUCCGGGAGAGGUGAGUGGAACUGCGAGUGUAGAGGUGAAAUUCGUAGAUAUUCGCAAGAACACCAGUGGCGAAGGCGGCUCACUGGCCCGGUACUGACGCUGAGGCACGAAAGCGUGGGGAGCAAACAGG
rnacentral:rRNA from 1 species